AACGAACGCUGGCGGCAUGCCCAACACAUGCAAGUCGAACGAGACCUUCGGGUCUAGCGGCGCACGGGUGCGUAACGCGUGGGAACCUGCCCUUAGGUUCGGAAUAACUCCCCGAAAGGGGUGCUAAUACCGGAUAAUGUCUUCGGACCAAAGAUUUAUCGCCUUUGGAUGGGCCCGCGUUGGAUUAGCUAGUUGGUAGGGUAAAAGCCUACCAAGGCGACGAUCCAUAGCUGGUCUGAGAGGAUGAUCAGCCACACUGGGACUGAGACACGGCCCAGACUCCUACGGGAGGCAGCAGUGGGGAAUAUUGGACAAUGGGCGAAAGCCUGAUCCAGCAAUGCCGCGUGAGUGAUGAAGGCCUUAGGGUUGUAAAGCUCUUUUACCCGGGAUGAUAAUGACAGUACCGGGAGAAUAAGCUCCGGCUAACUCCGUG
rnacentral:rRNA from 1 species